rnacentral:rRNA from 1 species
GACGGAGGAGGCUAGCGUUGUUCGGAAUUACUGGGCGUAAAGCGUGCGCAGGUUGUAAGUUCAGUCUGAUGUGAAAGCCCGGGGCUCAACCUCGGAUGUGCAUUAGAUACUGGCUUGCUGGAGGUUGGAAGAGGAGAGUGGAAUUCCCAGUGUAGAGGUGAAAUUCGUAGAUAUUGGGAAGAACACCAGUGGCGAAGGCGGCUCUCUGGUCCACACCUGACACUCAAGCACGAAAGCGUGGGGAGCAAACAGGAUUAGAAA